UAGGGAAUCUUCGGCAAUGGGGGGAACCCUGACCGAGCAACGCCGCGUGAGUGAAGAAGGUUUUCGGAUCGUAAAGCUCUGUUGUUAAGGAAGAACGAGUGUGAGAAUGGAAAGUUCAUGCUGUGACGGUACUUAACCAGAAAGGGACGGCUAACUACGUGCCAGCAGCCGCGGUAAUACGUAGGUCCCGAGCGUUGUCCGGAUUUAUUGGGCGUAAAGCGAGCGCAGGCGGUCAAUUAAGUCUGAUGUGAAAGCCCCCGGCUCAACCGGGGAGGGUCAUUGGAAACUGGUUGACUUGAGUGCAGAAGAGGAGAGUGGAAUUCCAUGUGUAACUGUGAAAUGCGUAGAUAUAUGGAGGAACACCAGUGGCGAAGGCGACUCUCUGGUCUGUAACUGACGCUGAGGCUCGAAAGCGUGGGUAGCAAACAGG
rnacentral:rRNA from 1 species